UACGUAGGGGGCAAGCGUUGUUCGGAAUUACUGGGCGUAAAGGGCGCGUAGGCGGUGCGUUAAGUCAGAUGUGAAAGCCCUGGGCUCAACCCGGGAAUUGCAUUUGAUACUGGCGUGCUCGAAUCCGGGAGAGGUUGGUGGAAUUCCCAGUGUAGAGGUGAAAUUCGUAGAGAUUGGGAAGAACACCGGUGGCGAAGGCGGCCAACUGGACCGGUAUUGACGCUGAGGCGCGAAAGCGUGGGGAGCAAACAGG
rnacentral:rRNA from 1 species